rnacentral:rRNA from 1 species
CCUACGGGUGGCAGCAGUGAGGAAUAUUGGUCAAUGGGCGUAAGCCUGAACCAGCCAAGUCGCGUGAGGGAUGAAGGUUCUAUGGAUCGUAAACCUCUUUUAUAAGGGAAUAAAGUGUGGGACGUGUCCUGUUUUGUAUGUACCUUAUGAAUAAGGAUCGGCUAACUCCGUGCCAGCAGCCGCGGUAAUACGGAGGAUGCGAGCGUUAUCCGGAUUUAUUGGGUUUAAAGGGUGCGUAGGCGGCAUGUUAAGUCAGCGGUGAAAGUCUGUGGCUCAACCAUAGAAUUGCCGUUGAAACUGGGAGGCUUGAGUAUGUUUGAGGCAGGCGGAAUGCGUGGUGUAGCGGUGAAAUGCUUAGAUAUCACGCAGAACCCCGAUUGCGAAGGCAGCCUGCCAGGCCAUGACUGACGCUGAUGCACGAAAGCGUGGGGAUCAAACAGGAUUAGAUACCCUGGUAGUC